rnacentral:lncRNA from 1 species
UGAUAGGAUAUGAAACUGUAUUACUCUGGCAAAUCUAGAGAUGAGGCUCUGUUAUCAGCAUCAUUGAUGCAUUCAUUGCUAUUCCUUGCUUCCUGUACAUCACCUAUUAAACAUGAAGAAUUUUGGCCGCUUUGAAGAAUGAAGGAUAACCCCAAAAAUAUUGCUCUUUCUACAUACCCAUUCUCUUUUCUAUAACUAGUUCCUGUGUUAGAGUGGAUGGGGAUUUUUUUAUUUGUUUUAUGGGGGUUUUGUCCCUGGUUUUGUGUAUUUGUUUUUCGUAAAUCUGCCUUUAAAUAGACAUGAAACCUGAUUAUUUGUAUCUGUGUUUCUAGCUGGAAUGUACAGGCUGUCUAGAAGAAAAAUGGCUUUUUUCUUACCUGAGAGAAGAGCUGAGGAAGCACAAGAGAAGCUUGGUAAUUUGCAUUAAUUACUUAAUGGAAAGAAGGAUAUUUUGAAGCCAUUCUGUAAAACAACCAUCAACAAGAAUUUUGACAGGUUGCUCAACAGUAUUUUUCCUGGAAAGAGAAUGUUUGCUGGGAGCCAGACCUCCUCAUGUCCAUCUCCUUCCAAGAAUAUCAUGUUCUGGAUCAAACGUGACUCUGAUGAUGUGACAGAUACCUCUGUCAUGGUUUCUUAUACAUUUACACCCCUCACCAGGUGGCAUAUUCUGUUGAACGAAUGCUGAAAUGGUACCUUUUCUAUCAGCACACUUCUGCUUGAGAAUGUACUUCCGCUUUGAGCAUUACAACAGUUCAUGAAGGAAGGACUGGAUUAACUUUAUCAUAUCCACAAUGAGGAAAGAAAAUACAUGCAUGCUGAAUACUUUAGUUAUAGUUGUGCAUAAUAAAUUGUUUUUUGUUUCAUGAGUUAUCCCA